UAGGAGCCUCAUUUAAAUUGGAGAAAGAAACCAAAACCCCGCUUCCAGAAUUCAUCUUUCUCCAUCCAUCUCUGGCUUUUUGAGUUUACAUCCUCCGCCUUUGACCACACUCUUUUGUAUCACUUCUGCAUAUAUUUCUCAUUGAGUUCGAUAAGUCAUAGCCAGAGCACAACCAACGUAUCCCCGCACCACCACCAAGCCACCCCACAAUACCGUUGAAUAAGUAUUCCCUCACGUGUAGCCAAUUGAUUCGGUCAAACAUGAGAUACACGUUAUAUAAAAGCAUCUCCUCUCCCAGUCAGUCAAAACCCUAAAAUUCUAAACUCUCUCAAAUGGAAACCAACGCAUCUUCACCACUGUCACCCCUGAUGCUUCCAACCCACGAUUUCGAUUUUAGGGUUUUUUUUGUUUUAAAAAGAUAAAUGAUUUAGUUAGCAGAGGGAACCAACCUCAAAAGUUUGAACCAUAUCCAGUGAGAUUUCAUUUCUUGAUGUAAUUUAAGAGAUUUGGAGGAAGGAAGCUAUGAUAACCAACCAACCAACUUCGAGAAGUUACAUUUGUAAUCAUUUUCUUUUCCUUCUAUUAAAGUGGGUUGCCUUUGUAUUUGUAUCCACAUUGUCUAGCUUGAAUCUGCUACCCAAGAACUGUGAUGAUGUUAUUAAAGUUCAAUGGAGAUCCCUCAUAAUGAAAGGAAUAUAGCACACUUACAUGUAGUAUAAAAGAGUUUGAUGGUGGUUAAUCGGGGAUGCCAAUGCCUAUGAUGAUUAAGGCAUCGACAAGUACCUGCUUAGAAGCUUCUUAUGGAAUGAUAGGAUCACUAGAUGACUACUGGUUUUUUGUUCUUUUAAAAUUUUGAUGCAUAUGAUUAUUAAGGCAUUAAUAAGUAUUUGGUUACUGACCUUUUUUUAUUUCUAAUUGUAGCAUUUUAUCACAAAUUUCAUUGACUUUCAACUGGCUUGUCGUGGAAGGCUUAUUCAAAUUACAAUGCUUUGUUUUCAAAUGAACAUUAAAAUACAAUGUUUAUUAACAGACUUCACCCACAUAUGUUACAAAAACUUCACUAUCUUCAUCAAUUACAACUAAAAAUUAGCAAUGACUUAACUGAUAACAAACUACAUGUCAUUUUCUUAUUUUUGUAAAACUUUUAUUUUUAAUUUUCCUCUUCUUAUUAGCAUUGCACUUUGAAAGUACAAUGCUAUAAUUGGGAUGUGUAUUUCUAUAUUUUAAUAUUAUCGUAUUAAUGUUCCUCUUCUUAUUAGCAUUGCACUUUUAGAACAUGCAUUCACCAUUGAAAAUUGAAUUUCCAUGUAUGAGCGUCAUCUUGAGGUAUGAAACAUAUUUGGUCAAAAGUUUCAAAACUUUCUUUGAAAAUAUACAAGAGACUACUAAAGGGACUCGGUAAGCCCACUUGAUAGACAUAUAUUCAUAACCCUCCAGGUACAAAAGUUGAACAAUUACCCCACUAAUGAAAUUGUUCAUGUUAAGUAGUUUCUUAUUUAUUGUUGGUUCAUUCGUUAAGGCUUUAAAAUGGCCGUUUAAUAUGACCCGGAGAAGUGGAUCGGACCAAAAAAUAACUGAAACCGGUCUCGGACCGAACCAGAAGUUCCUAUAACUAGGCCGGUUCUUAGUUCCAAUGUUUUGCAUGUUUCGUUUUCGGAUAAGAAGCAGACCAGAACCGGACCCAAGAAGCAUGAAUAAAACCGGACCGGACCAAUAUAUGAAAAGUCUUUUUUUAUCGACAUGUUUCUAUAUGCCCAUCUCAUUCUUACCGCAUUUUGUUUUUCACUCAAGCCUUCUAUCGUGGCUCAAUCUAUUCAAAAGAUGUCAUAGUGGCAUAAUGUAUCACUUUUUUGCAAUAUGGUUAUUCCGUUUCUAAUACAAGCAUGUGGCAGUGGCACAAUUCGAUUGAAAAUGAAUGCAACAAUCAUCUAUUCAUCCAAUGAAACAAAAAAAAAUCUAAUAUAAACCAAAAGGGUUAGGCAUAUUAACUAAAACUACAAAAAUACAUAUGUAAUUUUACAACUAGCAGUUGAUAUUGAUUAUUGUUAUUAGACCAACUCAUCAAGCAUUGAAUCUAUAAAACUUAGGUGAUAAUGUCUUAAAAAGUAUAAUUUCAACAUUACUCCCUGAGAUUUUCAUAAAAAAUUGAUUUAUUAGUUUUAGCUUCGAAAUUAUUAUAUAAAGUAGUCUAAGUUUGUAAGAAGGAAAUAUCAUCAUCAGACAAAUAUUAGAGGAUUACGUUUAAGUCCCUAGACUUUAUUCAUUGUACGAGAUAGAAAUGUAAUAGGCUGCUAAAUCCGGUUCUAGACCCUGGAACUGAAACCGGUCUGGAACUGAUAUCCCUAAUCUGGUCCGGUUUUUAAUUUACAUUUUCAAGCUUUUCCGGUUUUUGGUUAGGGUGGGGUCCGGCCCGUUGCUCAUCCCUACUUUAAUCUAUUUUUUUGUCUAUGUUGGCCGUGU